UACGGAGGAUCCAAGCGUUGUCCGGAUUUAUUGGGUUUAAAGGGUGCGUAGGCGGCCUAUUAAGUCAGGGGUGAAAGACGGUAGCUUAACUAUCGCAGUGCCUUUGAUACUGAUGGGCUUGAAUGUACUUGAGGUAGGCGGAAUUUGACAAGUAGCGGUGAAAUGCAUAGAUAUGUCACAGAACACCAAUUGCGAAGGCAGCUUACUAAAGUAUGAUUGACGCUGAGGCACGAAAGCGUGGGGAUCAAACAGG
rnacentral:rRNA from 1 species